rnacentral:rRNA from 1 species
GACGAACGCUGGCGGCGUGCUUAACACAUGCAAGUCGAACGGAAAGGCCCUGCUUUUGUGGGGUGCUCGAGUGGCGAACGGGUGAGUAACACGUGAGUAACCUGCCCUUGACUUUGGGAUAACUUCAGGAAACUGGGGCUAAUACCGGAUAGGAGCUCCUGCUGCAUGGUGGGGGUUGGAAAGUUUCGGCGGUUGGGGAUUGACUCGCGGCUUAUCAGCUUGUUGGUGGGGUAGUGGCUUACCAAGGCUUUGACGGGUAGCCGGCCUGAGAGGGUGACCGGCCACAUUGGGACUGAGAUACGGCCCAGACUCCUACGGGAGGGAGCAGUGGGGAAUAUUGCACAAGGGGCGGAAGCCUGAUGCAGCAACGCCGCGUGCGGGAUGACGGCCUUCGGGUUGUAAACCGCUUUCGCCUGUGACGAAGCGUGAGUGACGGUAAUGGGUAAAGAAGCACCGGCUAACUACGUG